rfam:Mustela putorius furo unplaced genomic scaffold scaffold00553, whole genome shotgun sequence.
GAAUUUAUGCAGUGGUAGUAUCAUAGCCAAAGAGGUUUAUCUGAAGUGUGAUUAUUGCUAAUUGAAAGGAAUAUUAUACAUCAUUACCUUGUCUUAACCACUAAAAUCAAACUUCAUUUGUGCCUGUGUUUAUCCAUA